rnacentral:rRNA from 1 species
UUCGCCCUUUUCCGGUUGAUCCUGCCGGACCUUACUGCUAUCGGGAUGGGACUAAGACAUGCAUGUUGUGCGUCUCUUAGCUAUGAAGGAGACGCGGCACACGGCUCAGUAACAUGUGGCUAACCUACCCUUAGGACAGAGACAACCCCGGGAAACUGGGGCUAAUCCUUGAUAGGCGUGGACUCCUGGAAUGGAUCCACACUCAAAAGAUGUUUGAAUCAUGCUUUAGAUAUCGCCUAAGGAUGGGGCCGCAGCCGAUCAGGUUGUUGGCGAGGUAAUGGCCCACCAAGCCUUUGACCGGUACGGGCCGCGAGAGCGGUAGCCCGGAGAUGGACACUGAGACAAGGGUCCAGGCCCUACGGGGCGCAGCAGUUACGAAAACUCACCAAUGCGCGAAAGCGUGAGUGGGCUAUCCCGAGUGCCGUCCGCUGAGGAUGGCUUUUCUCCAGUGUAAGGAGCUGGAGGAAUAAGGAGAGGGCAAGUCUGGUGUCAGCCGCCGCGGUAAUACCAGCUCUCCGAGUGGUAAGGACGUUUAUUGGGCUUAAAGCGUCCGUAGCUGGCUCAGCAAGUCCUCCGUUAAAUCCAGCGAUUCAAUCGUUGGGCUGCGGGAGAUACUGUUGGGCUAGGGGACGGGAGAGGCCAACGGUAUUCUCGGAGUAGGGGUGAAAUCCUAUAAUUCGGGGAGGAC